rnacentral:rRNA from 1 species
AGAUUGAACGCUGGCGGCAGGCCUAACACAUGCAAGUCGAGCGGCAGCACGGGUACUUGUACCUGGUGGCGAGCGGCGGACGGGUGAGUAAUGCCUAGGAAUCUGCCUGGUAGGUGGGGGAUAACGCUCGGAAACGGCGCUAAUACCCGCAUACGUCCUACGGGAGAAAGCAGGGGACCUUCGGGCCUUGCGCUAUCAGAUGAGCCUAGGUCGAUUAGCUAGUUGGUGAGUAAUGGCUCACCAAGGCGACGAUCCGUAACUGGUCUGAGAGGAUGAUCAGUCACACUGGAACUGAGACACGGUCCAGACUCGUACGGGAGCAGCGAGGUCGGGAAUAUUAGGACAAGU